rnacentral:rRNA from 1 species
GACGAACGCUGGCGGCGUGCUUAACACAUGCAAGUCGAACGGAAAGGCCCUGCUUUUGUGGGGUGCUCGAGUGGCGAACGGGUGAGUAACACGUGAGUAACCUGCCCUUGACUUUGGGAUAACUUCAGGAAACUGGGGCUAAUACCGGAUAGGAGCUCCUGCUGCAUGGUGGGGGUUGGAAAGUUUCGGCGGUUGGGGAUGGACUCGCGGCUUAUCAGCUUGUUGGUGGGGUAGUGGCUUACCAAGGCUUUGACGGGUAGCCGGCCUGAGAGGGUGACCGGCCACAUUGGGACUGAGAUACGGCCCAGACUCCUACGGGAGGCAGCAGUGGGGAAUAUUGCACAAUGGGCGGAAGCCUGAUGCAGCAACGCCGCGUGCGGGAUGACGGCCUUCGGGUUGUAAACCGCUUUCGCCUGUGACGAAGCGUGAGUGACGGUAAUGGGUAAAGAAGCACCGGCUAACUACGUGCCAGCAGCCGCGGUGAUACGUAGGGUGCGAGCGUUGUCCGGAUUUAUUGGGCGUAAAGGGCUCGUAGGUGGUUGAUCGCGUCGGAAGUGUAAUCUUGGGGCUUAACCCUGAGCGUGCUUUCGAUACGGGUUGACUUGAGGAAGGUAGGGGAGAAUGGAAUUCCUGGUGGAGCGGUGGAAUGCGCAGAUAUCAGGAGGAACACCAGUGGCGAAGGCGGUUCUCUGGGCCUUUCCUGACGCUGAGGAGCGAAAGCGUGGGGAGCGAACAGGCUUAGAUACCCUGGUAGUCCACGCUGUAAACGGUGGGUACUAGGUGUGGGGUCCAUUCCACGGGUUCCGUGCCGUAGCUAGCGCUUUAAGUACCCCGCCUGGGGAGUACGGCCGCAAGGCUAAAACUCAAAGGAAUUGACGGGGCCCCGCACAAGCGGCGGAGCAUGCGGAUUAAUUCGAUGCAACGCGUAGAACCUUACCUGGGUUUGACAUGGAUCGGGAGUGCUCAGAGAUGGGUGUGCCUCUUUUGGGGUCGGUUCACAGGUGGUGCAUGGCUGUCGUCAGCUCGUGUCGUGAGAUGUUGGGUUAAGUCCCGCAACGAGCGCAACCCUUGUUCACUGUUGCCAGCACGUUAUGGUGGGGACUCAGUGGAGACCGCCGGGGUCAACUCGGAGGAAGGUGGGGAUGACGUCAAGUCAUCAUGCCCCUUAUGUCCAGGGCUUCACGCAUGCUACAAUGGCUGGUACAGAGAGUGGCGAGCCUGUGAGGGUGAGCGAAUCUCGGAAAGCCGGUCUCAGUUCGGAUUGGGGUCUGCAACUCGACCUCAUGAAGUCGGAGUCGCUAGUAAUCGCAGAUCAGCAACGCUGCGGUGAAUACGUUCCCGGGGCU